rnacentral:rRNA from 1 species
GUCUGUGGCCAUGCCACCCUGAUCUCGGAAGGUAAGCAGGGUCGGGCAUGGUUAGUACUUGGAUGGGAGACCACCUAGGAAGAUCAGGUGCUGUAGGCA